GGGCUUUUUAUCCUGGCUGAGAGGAACCUGCGGCCAGCGUGGCUGGCUGGUUUUGCCAUUAGCGGGGGCCUUUCCUGAGGACGGCGUACAGAGUGUGGGGAAUGAAGGAUGGCAGCACGCCGUGCAUUAGAUCUCAGUGGCACACUUUACAUUGAAGAUGCAGCUGUGCCAGGCGCACAGGAAGCUCUUAAAAGGUUACGUGGUGCUUCUGUAUUCGUUAGGUUUGUGACCAAUACGACCAAAGAGAGCAAGCAAGACCUGUUGGAAAGGUUGAGAAAAUUGGAAUUUGUUAUCUCUGAAAAUGAGAUAUUCACAUCUCUGACUGCAGCCAGAAGUUUAUUAGAGCAGAAACAAGUCAGACCCAUGCUGCUAGCUGAUGAUCGGGCACUACCUGAUUUCAAAGGAAUACAAACAAGUGAUCCUAAUGCUGUGGUCAUAGGAUUGGCACCAGAACAUUUUCAUUAUCAAAUUCUGAAUCAAGCAUUCCGGUUACUCCUGGAUGGAGCACCUCUGAUAGCAAUCCACAAAGCCAGGUAUUACAAGAGGAAAGAUGGCUUAGCCCUGGGGCCUGGACCAUUUGUGACUGCUUUAGAGUAUGCCACAGAUACCAAAGCCACAGUCGUGGGGAAACCAGAGAAGACGUUCUUUUUGGAAGCAUUGCGAGGCACUGGCUGUGAACCUGAGGAGGCUGUCAUGAUAGGAGAUGAUUGCAGGGAUGAUGUUAGUGGGGCUCAGGAUGUUGGCAUGCUAGGCCUCUUAGUAAAGACUGGGAAAUACCGAGCAUCAGAUGAAGAAAAAAUUAAACCACCUCCUUAUUUUACUUGUGAGAGUUUCCCUCAUGCUGUGGACCACAUUCUGCAGCACCUGUUGUGAAGCAAUGUGUGCAUCUGAAGCAACUUGAAACGCAGUUUCUUAUUGUCUGGAAUGAAUCCCUGACCAACUCAGUGCCAGCAUCGGUAGACACACACCAGUCAGUGCUGAUCGCUUUUUAACCCUCUUUUGUUGUGCGUUAAUUAGAAAGAAAGGUAUUGAAUUGCGGCCAGCCAGUAAGCCUUGCUAAUCUCUUUUAUUUUGUAACUGAAGAUGAGACCCAAAGAAAGGGAAAGCUGAAAUUUUGUGCCAUUCCUUUUAAAAUAUUCAUCAGGUUAGGCAGGGCUGGGAGGGAGAAGCUACCACAGGGAAGAGUGUUGUUUGC